AGAAUCAACGCUGGCGGCGUGCCUAACACAUGCAAGUCGCACGAGAAAGGGACUUCGGUCCUGAGUACAGUGGCGCACGGGUGAGUAACACGUGAAUAAUCUACCUCCGAGUGGGGGAAUAACUGAGAGAAAUCUUAGCUAAUACCGCAUAACACUUACGAGUCAAAGCAGCAAUGCGCUUGGAGAGGAGUUCGCGGCAGAUUAGUUAGUUGGCGGGGUAAUGGCCCACCAAGACGAUGAUCUGUAUCCGGCCUGAGAGGGCGCACGGACACACUGGAACUGAAACACGGUCCAGACUCCUACGGGAGGCAGCAGUGGGGAAUUUUGCGCAAUGGGGGAAACCCUGACGCAGCAACGCCGCGUGGAGGAUGAAAUCCCUUGGGAUGUAAACUCUUUCGAUCGGGAAGAUAAUGACGGUACCGAGAGAAGAAGCCCGGCUAACUUCGCGCCAGCAGCCGC
rnacentral:rRNA from 1 species